rnacentral:rRNA from 1 species
GAUGAACGCUGGCGGCGUGCUUAACACAUGCAAGUCGAACGGAAAGGCUCCUGCUUGCAGGGGCUCUCGAGUGGCGAACGGGUGAGUAACACGUGGGUGAUCUGCCCUGCACUUCGGGAUAAGCCUGGGAAACUGGGUCUAAUACCGGAUAGGACCAUCGUUUAGUGUCGGUGGUGGAAAGUUUGUUCGGUGUGGGAUGAGCUCGCGGCCUAUCAGCUUGUUGGUGGGGUAAUGGCCUACCAAGGCGUCGACGGGUAGCCGGCCUGGGAGGGUGGACGGCGACAUUGCGCCUGAGAUACGGCGCAGUCUCCUACGGUGGGCAGUAGUGGGGAGUAUUGCGCAAUGGGCGCGAGCCUAAUGCAGCGACGCCGCGUGGGGGAUGACCGCCUUCGGGUUGUAAACGGCUUUCGCCAGAGACGAAGCGAAAGUGACGGUACCUGGAUAAGAAGCACCGGCUAACUACGUG